UACGAAGGGGGCGAGCGUUGUUCGGAUUUACUGGGCGUAAAGGGCGCGCAGGCGGCUCAUUUUGUCAGGCGUGAAAGCCCCGGGCUUAACCUGGGAACUGCGUCCGAUACUGGGAGGCUUGAAUCCGGGAGAGGGAUGUGGAAUUCCAGGUGUAGCGGUGAAAUGCGUGGAUAUAUGGAAGAACACCAAUAACGGCGAAGGCAGUUAACUAUUCUGUUACUGACAUUGAGGCACGAAAGCGUGGGGAGCAAAACGG
rnacentral:rRNA from 1 species